rnacentral:rRNA from 1 species
GACGAACGCUGGCGGCGUGCUUAACACAUGCAAGUCGAACGGAAAGGCCCUGCUUUUGUGGGGUGCUCGAGUGGCGAACGGGUGAGUAACACGUGAGUAACCUGCCCUUGACUUUGGGAUAACUUCAGGAAACUGGGGCUAAUACCGGAUAGGAGCUCCUGCUGCAUGGUGGGGGUUGGAAAGUUUCGGCGGUUGGGGUUGGACUCGCGGCUUAUCAGCUUGUUGGUGGGGUAGUGGCUUACCAAGGCUUUGACGGGUAGCCGGCCUGAGAGGGUGACCGGCCACAUUGGGACUGAGAAACGGACAAGACUCAUACGGGAGGCAGCAGUGGGGAAUAUUGCACAAUGGGCGGAAGCCUGAUGCAGAAACGCCGCGUGCGGGAUGACGGCCUUCGGGUUGGAAACCGCUUUCGCCUGUGACGAAGCGUGAGUGACGGUAAUGGGUAAAGAAGCACCGGCUAACUAAGUG